AGUGAACGCUGGCGGUAGGCCUAACACAUGCAAGUCGAACGGCAGCACAGUAAGCGCUUGCUCUUACGGGUGGCGAGUGGCGGACGGGUGAGGAAUACAUCGCAAUCUACUUUUUCGUGGGGGAUAACGUAGGGAAACUUACGCUAAUACCGCAUACGACCUACGGGUGAAAGCAGGGGAUCUUCGGACCUUGCGCGAUUGAAUGAGCCGAUGUCGGAUUAGCUAGUUGGCGGGGUAAAGGCCCACCAAGGCGACGAUCCGUAGCUGGUCUGAGAGGAUGAUCAGCCACACUGGAACUGAGACACGGUCCAGACUCCUACGGGAGGCAGCAGUGGGGAAUAUUGGACAAUGGGCGCAAGCCUGAUCCAGCCAUACCGCGUGGGUGAAGAAGGCCUUCGGGUUGUAAAGCCCUUUUGUUGGGAAAGAAAAGCAGCAGGUUAAUACCCCGCUGUUCUGACGGUACCCAAAGAAUAAGCACCGGCUAACUUCGUG
rnacentral:rRNA from 1 species